rnacentral:rRNA from 1 species
AACGCUAGCUACAGGCUUAACACAUGCAAGUCGAGGGGUAACGAGAGGAAAGCUUGCUUUCCUUGUCGACGACCGGCGCACGGGUGAGUAACGCGUAUCCAACCUGCCCCCAACUAGGGAAUAACCUUGCGAAAGUAAGACUAAUACCCUAUAAUUUCCUCAGAUGUCAUCUGACGAGGAAUAAAGAUUUAUCGGUUGUGGAUGGGGAUGCGUCUGAUUAGCUUGUUGGCGGGGUAACGGCCCACCAAGGCAACGAUCAGUAGGGGUUCUGAGAGGAAGGUCCCCCACAUUGGAACUGAGACACGGUCCAAACUCCUACGGGAGGCAGCAGUGAGGAAUAUUGGUCAAUGGGCGGAAGCCUGAACCAGCCAAGUAGCGUGCAGGAUGACGGCCCUAUGGGUUGUAAACUGCUUUUAUACAGGAAUAAAGUUAGCCACGUGUGGUUAUUUGUAGGUACUGUAUGAAUAAGGACCGGCUAAUUCCGUGCCAGCAGCCGCGGUAAUACGGAAGGUCCAGGCGUUAUCCGGAUUUAUUGGGUUUAAAGGGAGCGUAGGCCGUCUGUUAAGCGUGUUGUGAAAUGUAGAUGCUCAACAUCUGAAUUGCAGCGCGAACUGGCAGACUUGAGUGUGCGCAACGUAGGCGGAAUUCGUGGUGUGGCGGUGAAAUGCUUAGAUAUCACGAAGAACUCCGAUUG